rnacentral:lncRNA from 1 species
CUUUUCCCUGAAGAAUAAGGAAAAUCACGCCCCUUCUCACCCUCCAGUGGUCGUGCGUCCCUCGCUCACCCCUCCGUGAAGAUUUGUGCCCGUACAGACUGCAAAAGAGUGCGAGUCGUCUUGACAGAGGAGCGGGAGAGGGGCAGAAAGAAAAGGGGGUUUUAAAGAUUUAAUGCUAUGAUAGGCAGCCUGUAGGCCAACCGUCCUGAUUGUGGUCACGCUCCUGCUUUCUGUAAUGGCUGACUGGAAGGAAUGGACCACAUAGAGAGCUAGUCAUGAAGACCCGAACUAACAAAGAAUCGAUGCCCGCUCGCAGUGGACGCAGGAGGGGGGGCAGCGAGGAAAGGAGGGGUAGACGUCCGCACCCCAGCCCCUCCCGAGCAGAGUGCAAUGAAAGGCA